rnacentral:snRNA from 1 species
GUGCACUCUCUUCAGUAGCACAUACACUAAAGUUGGAACGAUACAGGGAAGAUGCUCGCCGCGGCCCCUGUGUAAGCACGACACACAAAUUUGUUAAGCGGUUUAUAGUUU